rnacentral:sRNA from 1 species
GCUGGGAGCAAUGGUACUUCUGUCAUCCCGGCUACUUGGGAGGCCGGGGAAGGAGGAUCAUUUGAGUCCAGGAGUUUUUUGAGGCCAACCAGGGCAACACAGUGAAACACUUUCAA